rnacentral:lncRNA from 1 species
CCCAAAGAAAAAAACAAAUGUUACCCAAUAGGCAAACAAUGCUGAGAGUUCACUUCCUCUAACUCUGUAGUUAAGUUACUCACUCAGUAUAACAUCACCCUCCUGCCAGGGGUUGAAGUCAGGAAGUAGUUUAUUUUCGCUGAAACUGAAGGGGGAAGUUAAAGAGAAAAAUAGCUGCAACUUGGUCAAUUCAGGAAAACCAGGUACGAAAAAAGAGGAGCAAGUUAAAGGGAAAGCCAGCUCGGAUUUGCUCACCAGUAAAAGGCAAAAAUCCCAGUGUUAUUCAUCUGCAUUUGGUGUGAAAGACAAAAGCUCAACUGGGAUCUGAGGCUUUCUGUGUCAGAGGGCAAGGAGUCAAUGGGGUUAUGAGGAAGUAAGACCACUUGAGACAUCAAAGAAAAGUAGAUCAAAUCACUAGACUCCUCCAAACAGGAGUGGGUGAAGACAAAAAGUGGAGAGAAUCCAGAGGGAAGAGAGGAGUAGGGAAAAUGGUGGAAAGGGAAGGUUUUUGAGAUGGAAGGCAGAGAAUGGGAACAAAAGAAGAAAAAGCUGUUUGUUUCAAAUCAAUAUUCUCCAAGAGGAUGUCUUGUUUCCCCAGGGAUAUUCUGAGGGACUCACAGGAUCAGAGCUGCGACACUUCUAACAUAUGAAUUCUCUCAAUUCUGAUGCCCUUUGACCUCUGCCACACAAUGCCAAGACAAACCCAGACCCCAGGCCCUGGAAACAGAGGAGGGGCAGGUUUUCUCAGAGUUAACUUUCUCUAACCUUGAAGCCGAAUCCAGGGGCAGGAGCAGGAGUCAACUCUGAGAAGCAGAUUGACUGGCAAGCCUAUCACCACCUUGAUAACAGAUGACAUUAAAGAGAAAGUAUCAAUGUGAGGAUUAAAUGGGAUGAAAAAUAAAACAUCUGUCGGAGUGCCUGGAAUAUGAGCCUAGUAGAGCACCCAGCACACAGUAGGCUCUUAAUACAUGCUUGGGAUGAUUGAGGCAUUUUCUUCCACCAUAUUCCAUGAUCUUCUAGCCCUGGGGGUGCAGAGAGAUUACCUGGCCAAGAAGACUAGGGGUACACAAAUAUCCAAGAUUGGAAAGAAGAAAGAAAAUGACGACAGAAUUUUGCAGUCUACAAGGCAAACACUGCCAUUCAUGUAGUUAUGGAGUUCCUACUAUGUGCAGACAAUGGGAAACUUUACGAAGGUGAGCAGACAGGGAUCUCACACUCCUACUAUGUGUAGAGCAAUGGGAAAUGUGUGGCAAUAAGGUAAAGGUCUUUUAUUUCAAAAUAUUUUAGCAUAGAAGGAGAAAUGUCUACUUGAACAAUGAACAAAAUACCUUAUCGAAACAAGUCUGUAGAAAUCUGUUUAAUUAGAAAAGCAUAAAAGUUAUUACUCUUAGCUGAGUGGUAACUGAUUUGAUUCAAGUUGUCUAAAAUUUUCAUUGCAGAUUUUGAAGCUUGAUAAAGCCAUAAUUUGAAGACUACUUCAUUUCCUUAAUGCUCAACCUAUUUAUCACUUGUAAUUCAGAAAGGAUUUUUAAAAGACAAGAAAUAAUUUUUUAAAUGUUAUGCAUGUGCCUUUUAAAAAAUUCCUUUUAGCCUUGUGCCUCCCACUAAAACUUCGUUUCUCAAGUUCCUUGGCCCAGGCUGUAAGUGACAACUAGCAAUCCCAUUCCUCUGCCUUAUAAAGUCUUGGAAGAAAACAAAUUCAAGAUCACUUUCCCCCCAGCCACUUAAGAGAAAGAGAUAGAUUUUAGGGUAAUGAUUAGAGGCAUCUAAGACCUACUACAGUAUUUCUAACCAUGAGAAACCAUUACUAUUUUAAAAUAAUGGUGUGUAGAGGAUUGGUCACUAUUCCUUUAGUAAUGAAAUUUACUAUUGCAAAAUUUUCUUGCUAAUGCUAGUUAUCAACUACUUAUCAAGAAAAUCAAGUGACAACAUUCAUACCAAUCCCUUUAAUUUCAGUAAGCCAAAACCAACAAGACUUAUUCACCUGUCACUUGGCAUUACUUUCUCCUUCUGUCAAAGAAGCCUCAGGGUUUUUUUCACUUAGGCAUUUCCUUAAUAAUAACUAUUCUAAUAUCCAAAUUGCAUAUACUAGUCAUUGUUGGGUAGCUAUCCCCAUAACCUGAAUACUUCCAGGCUUCGUUCCUAUGUGAAGUCUUAGUAAUGUUACCGUCCAAACUACGGCAGCCCUUUACCCUCCUCAUCACCAAACUACGGCAGCCCUUUACCCUCCUCAUCAUGACUGGAGGAGCUCAGCAUGCUCUCAAGCCGCCUUCCAUCUGUUCUAGGCAUCCCACGGUGGCUUCUCCAGAGAGCUCAGAAAUAUGUCUGCUCCUGUUCCCAUUUUCCUGCUCUUUCCUCCAGGAACCUCGACGUAGCCUGUUCCCAAUGCCCUCUGUGGAAUCAGCCAGGUCCAUGCCACAAGUAUGAAUUGUUUCCAGUGCGGCAGUCCUGGGAGUGCCUGAGCCACAAGCCAGUGUCCCCUACUCAGUUGUGCCCUGUGGGGACUGAAGCAGGACUAUAUUCUCACAGGCUCUCCUAAAAGCUGGGCUGCCAGCUUCUAGCUCUACUCCUUUCUCAAAGUGGCCCAGGCCAUCUCUCAGACCAAGGGUAAAUGCUAUGCCAGUUCCACCUGUUGUCUUUGUGUGCAUAAAUCUCAUUCUUUGUGCUUUAUCUCAAAAAAAAAAUCAACUCAUAGGAUUAUAAUCUCCUGAAGAGAUUCCACAGCCCACCAGUCCUACAAAGUCAGACAUAGAGGGCCAGUUUAGGCAUAUAUAUAUAUACACACACACACACACACACACACACAUUUAUAUAUAAACAUAUAUAUGUAAACUCUACAUGUGUGUGCAUAUAUAUAUACAUACACAUAUAGAGAGAGUUUAUGUUUAUAUAUACAUAUAAAUUAUAUAUAGAAUUUCUAUAGAAAUACAAACUAUAUAUAGAAUUUAUAUAGACAUAUAUAAAUGAUAUGUCUAUAUAAACAUAUAUAUGAACUCUGUCUCUCUCUAUAUAUAUAUAUUUUAUAUAUAUAUUAUAUAUAUAUAUUUUAUAUAUAUGUAUUUUAUAUAUAUAUAUAUAAAACUCAUGUUAUAUAUGACAAAUCCCAUAUAUAAUAAAUCAGUGGUGGGGUAUGGUAAUUCAAAAAAAUGAAUAUGGUUUCAGAUGGAAAUUAAUUUAUAUGGCCAAGACUGUUAAUUAGGCUUUUGUUGCCUUUAACCUAAGAGUAAGGCCAGCAUCUGUGGUUAUGAGCAAAUACUUAAGGCUAUGGUAGCUGCAAACACUUGCAGCCCUGGGUCGAAGGACAAAGGCUAGAAUAAAUUCCCUACCAAACGCUCAGAAGUGAUAUUAUGCAAAGAAGAUGUAUAUUUUAAUAAAUAUUUGUGGAAUGCCUAUUACUUGCCAGGAACUAAGGACACAAAAGGAAUUAAAGCACCAGGUCAGUCCCAAAACAGCAUGAAAUUUGCACCCAGGCAGAUCUGGGUUCAAGCCCUAGUUCUGUCCCUUGCUAUUGCUUCUUCUAUGACCUUAAGAAUCUUCAAGAUGGAGUUCUCAAGAGGCACAAGUAUGACAGUGUACAUGGAAUUACUUGCCAUUAGCACAGAUGUUUGUCGUGUAUUCAUUUAUGAGUAAAUAAUUAUUGAGUGACAACUAUAUCCCAGGCAUUGUUCCAAGAAUUAGAGUUACAGCAGUAGACAAGAAAGAAUGUCUCAUAAUAAUGAAAUGAAGCUAACUUUAUUACAUUUAUAUCACAGUGAAAUCAACCAGGUCAAAGGAAAUGAUUCUUACCCUGUGUCACUCCAAAAGAUCUUAUCCAAAAUAAAAUGAUGUAUUUUUUAAUUUCCAAAAAUAGAUUAAAUUAAGUUGAGGUCUCUACCUGUACAGUGGCAGGAGAGAUGAAUCAGCACCUUAACAAUUUAUUUUGCUCACCUCCUCCUUCAUUCUGUUCUCUACUCUUUCCCUCAAUUGGUAGUUUUUGUCCCUGGAUGGCCUCUCCUCACACUUUUGUGUGGACAGACAUGAAUGUUCAGUUUUGUGUGUAGUGUGUGUGUGUGUGUGAGAGAGAGAGAGAGAGAGAAAGAUAACUGAGAGUGUGCACGUGUGUCUGCAAGAACAAUGGUAGAAAUCCAUGAUCCUUUGAAGAAAUUUAACCUGGGUUAAUUACUCAAAAUCCUUAUAUUCAGAACCUUCCAUAUUGAAGCUUCCCUGAUCUUUCUCUGCUCCAAUAGCUCAUAGCAAUGCCUGAAUGCUUUGUUUCUUAAAGAGGAGUUUAUAUUUAUAGAGAAGUUGUAAAGAGUCUCCAUAUACCUGCACCUAAUUCCCCUGUUAUCAGGAAUUUGCACUAGUAUGGCACAUUUGUUAUCAUUAAUGAACCAAAACGGAUAUUAUUAUUGGCUAAAGUUCAUGCUUCAUCUAGGUUUCCCAACUUCCCUGAGGUCCUUUUCUUGUGCCAGAAUCCCAUCCAGGAGACCACAUUACAUUUAGUCCUCAUGACUCUUAGACUCUUCUUCUUGGCUGUGAUAGUUUCUCAAACUUUUCUUGAUUUUGAUGACCCUGACAGUUUGAGAAGUAUUGGUCAGAAAUUUUUGUAGAAUGUCUACUGGUUGGAAUUUGUCUGGGGUUUUUCUCAUGAUGAAACUGAGGUCAUGGGUUUUUGGGAGGAAGACCACAGAGGCAAAGUGCCAUUCUCUUCCCAUCAUACCAAAGGUACAGGCUAUCAACAUGACUAACUUAUCAUUAUUGAUUUUUACCAUGAACACCAGGCUGAGAUAGUCUGAACAUCCUUUUUAACAGAGAUUUUUACCAAUUAUUAUAUUUGUAUUCCCAAACUGCUUCAAAGAUAUUUAUCAAGAAAUCUCAAAAUAGCCUCUUAUUUUUACCUAAAAUUCAUUCAUCCCUUAAUUUUCACUGAGAAAAUAUAUUGAGUCUACUAUCAAAUGCCAGGCACUGAGGAUACAGGCAUAAAUAAAACAUGUUCCUACUUUCAAGAGCUCAUGGCCCAGUCUAAUGCAAGAGAGACUUGUAAAAAUGUAAAGAAGGAUCCAAUGAGUUAAGGGACACUGUUUAAGGAAUAAAAGGAACCCUGAGAGGUAUAGUUAUCAUUUCCGUGAGGAGCUAGGAGGAGGGAAAAUCUCCUUCCUAGAGAAAGGGACUCCUAAGCUGAUCUUGAAAGGUACAUAGGAUUCUGCCAAGCAGAAGAGAAAUCAUGUGCAAAGCAGGUGUGUGUUCAUGAAAGCUGGUUUUAGAGAAGUGGCGGGGAAGGAGGAUGAAGUGGUAGGUAGAGAUCGUGGAGAGCCCAGUUUGCAUUUUGAAUUGUGUGGCUCUCAGGCUGCUAGAGUCAAAGUAUUAGAAGGUAAAGGCAGGCUUCUAGCAGGUUCCACAUCUGAAGCAGGAGUAAUAGUUGGUCAAGUAGUCUUCCCUGAAGGCUUGGAGACAGGGCACUAGAGUAGCACACCUCUAUACACAGAUAGGAUCUGUGCCUCAGCUCUGGCACAGAUUUCUCUCUCUCUCUCUCUCUAACACACACACACACACGCACACGCACACACACAAACAUACACACACACAGAGGGAGAGACAUAUUUGCCACAUAUCCAUUCUCUAAGAGCUGCCAACCCAGACUGACAAAUCUUUAGAAUUUACUACUUUGUCUCUUUUUUCUACACCUUGGCAGUGGAUGGAGCAGCAUCAGCCAUGGCUCAGGAAUGCAGCCGCCUACUUUCCUGUUAUCAGCAGGCAUUCCUGUGGUUACACUAUUCCUGCUUAGCUUAUCAAUGGCCCUUGGGAACACAGAGUCAGCACCCAAAGAGGGCCAGAACAGCCUGCUUGUUGGACGCCCAUCCACACCAUGAGGCUUUCCUGGAUGUAGAGGGAAGUUACUGUUCCUCGGGAAAACCCCUCUUCCCAGCUGGUAUGAAUGCUUUAGCUUAAGAAUCUGCCUCAUGUGUUUCAUACUCAGAGACACGACCCCCUAAUCUUUAUGUGUGAAAACUUCCCGUUGAUACCAAAAGGAGCUUUUCCUAGGAUAUCACUGACCCAGGGUAAGACACAGUGAGUGAAGUCUGUGCAUUUUGUUAGAAGAUUAAAUAUCCAUUAUAUCCCCCCAUAUUCUUCCUCACCCCAACAUAUCUCUUUGUCUCCAAGUUUUAGAACUUCUAGAAUAUAAAAUAUAAUGUAUGAUAUAUAGUCAUAUAACAUCUAGUAUUCCCUCAAUAGCAUUCCAUCAUCAGAAUAAAGUACAAAAUCUGCCAUCCAUCAUGAGAGACCUUUUAGGAUCAGGAUGCUGCCCUGCUCUCUAGCCUCAUCUGUCCUCACUACCUGCUUGGCCAUUGAUGCUCCAUCUUCCUGAACUACACCCCAGAAACUCAGCAAUCAGGCCAUGUUCUCUCUUAUAGCAUUGCUUUUGACAUGCUGGUCUCUCUGCUUGGGUUCCUUUCUUUUUGGGAUUUUUCCAUCCAUCUUUGUCUGGCUAACUCCUGAUCUGCCUGCACCAUCUUUCGGAACUUUGAGAUGGGUGCCCCUCAUUUGUGCUAUCUUUGCUUAUUCUUGAAGCACCUUAGGCUUCCUCUCUCAUGACGUAUCUAAGUGGCCUGCAGUGGUCUACCUCUUCAACCUCACUCCCUGGGACCAUAUCUUAUUGCAGAGGGAUGUGACUGAGUGCAGCAGGCCAGUCAUCCUUCUGCUCUACCAUGCACAGGGCAUGGCCGUUUCUUCCUCGUGCUUGCUACCCCAUGAUUGCAAGAUGGUUGCUGUACUUCAAAGAAUCACAUCCUCACUUCAGGGUCUCAAGCAGGAAGGAAGGGGGCUAUGUUUUCUUUUUAAUCAAGGAGGAAAAAAGAAGCCCCAGGAAGAAUUCCUCUAUGCCAUAUUGGCCAGAACUGAGUCAUAUGGCCAUGUCUUGCUGAAAAGAAGGCUAAAUAGCAAGUAUCUGGCAAAGCAGAAAGAAUUGUCACAAUGGGUUGGAUCAUGAUUCAUGAGCUGGUACAUAGCCCACUGAGGCAAACUCGGGAUUUUGUUAGGCAGAAAGAGGUUAUAGCUUUUGACCUGUCAAGUAAUAGUAUCUACCACAUUGAAUUCCACUUUAGAAAACAUAGAUACAAAACACACUCCUGAAGAUUGCACCAACAGGAGGCAAAAUUUAAGGAGCAAGAGAAACUAUACAUGUAAGUGAUAAAAUAGUAAUAUUUAUCUGUUGGGACUCAAAUAGGUGUUUUGUCCCAGAAUUAUCUCAAUUCAUCAAGACUUCUUUGAAACUCCUUGCCCAUGCUUAGCCAUUUAUUCUAGGUAGAACAGUAAACGAAUCUCCAUUCUUAGAAAAGGUGGGCCUAGCUUCAUAGAACCGCACACAGCCCUAUUAUGUAAUAUAGCUUGGAAACUGUAUGAGCUAGUAAGUUUGAUUUGAUAUGUUUGAAAGUUUGGCAAAGCCUUAGUGAUAGGUUUGGGCAAAAAAAAGAUGAAACUCCAUAAUUAUUGUUUCCAUUAGCUAAAUCCAUCAGCUGCAGAUUUGGAGAAUACUUGUUUCAGGUAUUUGGUGAGCGACUCUCUUCUCUGAAGGUAUUCAAUCCCAAAGUGCACAUCAAAUCAUUUCCACUAAAACGCAUAAAGGUCUUGGUCAAAUGUGACUCAUGUGUAUUUAUCUUAUCCUUUUGCUGAAAUGAUUUCACCCAAACUUAAAAUAGAUAGAGGUUAGUUGACUCAGAAAAUUAGUGCACAGGAUGAAUAAAGAUAGUAUCAUGAGCUGGACAUCCAUCAGGUCAAUGCAUACUGCUCACUGAUAGCUUCCCCACCAACCUCUGUACUAUACCAUCACUGUUUUGCUAUCCUUCAUCCAUCUGCUAUGGAUGUAUCAUUUUUUGGUCCUCAGGCUAACAAUUUUCAUAGGAUUUAGGAUAGAAGUCAAAAUCGGAGUGUGCCAGAAAGUGAGGAUUAAAGGACGCAGGUCUCCAGGAUUUGUUCUCUCAUGGAAAGAACCCAAAAACCUGUCUCUGAAUUUGCUUCUUCCCUGCAAAGUAAAACAGGAUCAGGCCCUGGUCCCAGUUAGGAAUAUGUGCCCCCUCUAUCCCCUAUCCCCUUAGAAGCCAAGUGGGAACCAGAAAGAGGCAGUGGGAAAGGAGGAACCUGGGACAGCUUCCAGUCUAAGUAGGUGUUUGGGGAUUCUCCACGAGGUCCAGGUUAGAUCCCCAAGGAAAUGCACAGAACUACUGGUCAAAGACACAGAUAAUAGUAAAGUGCUUGUGUUUGCCACACAUUCUCUUCUGUGCAUAUGUAUUCCUUGGAGGUUUUUCAGGGAAGUGUGGUAGGCCAAGGAUGGGAUCUGAGAGUUUCUAGAUCACCUAACUAAUUACCAUUUCCUACUUUUUCAACCAUUUAUUUCCAGCUCGUUCCUCCUACAAAGCCAGUAAUCUGGCGCUGUAUACCCUUGAUUAUAGCAGGGAAAGACUACAAAGCAUUCUGAUGUAAAGACACAUGCACAGAUAAUGUAGUAAAAAGAAUAUAGAUUAGCAACACAUAGGUCUGGGUUUAAAUCUCAGUACAGCUGCUUUUUCAUUCUGUGACCUUGGGUAAUUUAUAUAUUAGCCUCUCUGAGCCUCAGUUCCCUUACUGAGUCAGUAACACUUACCUCAGGGAGUUAGUAUGAGGAUUAAAUGUAUAAAUGAAAUAAUUAACCACUUAUAAAAUGUGCCAGACAUCUAAUGUGUGUUCAACAAGUCUUAAUCUCUUAAGUGAACAUUCUUACUAGAAAACUAACUCACAACUCUAUUGAUGGUAAGCAAUAGAAAGGUAUUCCUAUAAAAAGACACUCAUCUUAUUUAUACAUAAACAAUAGGAAAAGAUGGCGACAAUGACCUUGCAUUUCUAGGCUAGUUUUGUCACCAUAAUAUAAAUUAAUUGAAACAGACAAACUACAUUAACCAAGUAUUUAUUGUUUUUAUUUCAGGGUUUUAAAAAGCAGCAGGUUUAAGAGCUGACCAUAUCUGAAAGACUCUAGAAUAGCAGAGGAUUGAUUAAAGGUCUGUGGCCACAGAUUGGAUGUGUUGAUUUUAUUUCCCCAAAGGUAUCCACAUAGCAACUUGGCAGUACACACAUAUCCCAAAUAUAUGUACACAGUGUUUACAGAAAAUACUAAUUGUACCCUUACCUAAAAUGUUAGGUCCCAUUUUCAUUUUAAAGACUCAUUAUGCUUUUCAUGAACUAACACUUUUGUUCAUUUCAAUUCUGUCAUGAAUUCGAAAGAAGGACACAGCAAAUAGGUACUUAACUAAAGUAAGUGCUUUCUCCCAUGGUUUUAUCAAUCCAAGUCUAUGGACAUAAUACAGAAUCAAGAAUCCAAGGAAACUGCUCUGAAUUUCACUGUAAGCAUAGCUCAUUUUUUUGACCUGUUGAUUGCAGUUAAUUUAACGUCACGACCUGCACCUCAGAAUCUCUCAUGUCCCCUGCAGCUUUGUCAAGAUGCUUUGUAUAUAGCUGGUACCCAGAGAAGGUUUGCCACAUUGCACGGAGUUGAUCACCCAUUUUAUUCACUGGAUUUGGCUUUGAGCAACUUACACUUUUUUCUCUCCAAAAAUUAAGUCCACCCACGAAGGAAAAAGGCAGAAGGAUGCUGUGGCAAAAAUGCUAUCCUGGAAAACAGAUCUUGGCCCUGGUCCCAGCUCUCUGUGACUUUGGACACAUCAGUUGAUCUUUUUAGAUCAAAUUUCCCCAUAAAAGGGGGUACUAGACAAGAUGCAUGUGCCAGACUGCCAAGGCCAAGGCACACCCUAAGCCACUCAUAGUAAUAUCCCUGGAACUGUAGACCCUUGCAGAGAGAUUAUAGAAGUGAUUUUGAAUAAUUAUUGAGUUAAGUGCUAGCAUUCCAGCAUGACCGCUUCAAAAGAGGUAAUGCAUAUUUUUUUUUGUAUUUUUUUGGCUUUUUUUAAAGUUACAUUACUUUAGUGUUAUAUGUCAUAUAGUCAUUAGGAAUUCCAAGAGAGCAAAUGUCAACAAAGGUCUGAAGUUGUUUGGCAUUUUAUCAAUCAUUAUUUAGAGUUUUCUUUUUUUCUUUUUUUUUUCUUAAUGUGGUUAGGGACACAGAGGUUCAUGUGAUGUAAUAAGAAAGAAAUAAAGGAAGCUUUAUCUGCCGCUCUUUCAACCUCAUCCACUCAACACUUACCCCGUGACAGACCCCAAUACUCUUAAUGAAUUCCCAAGGUUACGAAAGAACUUGGAAGAUCUUACAUUCCUACAUGGUGAUUACAGAGGCUCACAUUUUGCCAAGUCAUAUGCAGGUGGCUGAAAAAUGUGAUCUAACGUCCUUGAACACAUUUAUUACAAUCCAUCAUCUACAUGGCAACAGUCAGGGCCAUGCUCAUAAACCAGAACUGGUGCUAGAUCUGGAGAAAACGGAGAUGAGCAAAGGCAAUAUUUGGCUUAUUUGUUAUAACCCUAAUAAAACAAGACUGCUUGAAGAAAUAGACCAAAUUGUGGAAUGUUUAACAUUGAUCCAGGACUGGCUCUUCUGAGGAAAAGAUAUAAUAUUUAUCAUGUGGCCAAUUUUGUCUGUGAAGAUAAGGAGGAACUAAUCGGUCUCAACUUCAUGAUGUUGCUUAAAGGAGCAUAUAAAUGUACGAUCAUAAGUAUCCUUUAAAUGAAGGGGUUGGUUUUAUGACUGCAGAAGUGAGAAAGAGUAAGGUCAUUUAGCCUGAGCAACACAGCAAAACCUUGUCUCUACUAAAAAUUAAACAAAACAACCAAAAAAUCACUCAGGUGUGGUGGCGCAUGCCUGUGGUCCCAACUACUCAGGAGGCUGAGGUGGGAGGAUUGCUUGAGCCUGAGAGGUGGAGGUUGCAGUGAGCCUUGAUUGCGCCACAGCACUCUAGCCUGGGUGACAGAGCAAGACUGUCAAAAAAGGAAAGAAAAGAAAGAAAAGAAAAAGAAAGAAACUAAAACAGAAAGAAAAGAAAGAAAGAAUGGGAGAGAGAGAGGAAGGAAGGAAGGAAGGAGAAAGAAGA